rnacentral:rRNA from 1 species
AGAGUUUGAUCCUGGCUCAGAACGAACGUUGGCGGCGUGGAUUAGGCAUGCAAGUCGAACGAAUCCCGGGGUAGCAAUACCUCGGGGGAAGUGGCGAAAGGGGCAGUAAGGCGUGGGUAACCUACCCCGGAGUCGGGCAUAGCCGUCCUAACGGACGGGUAAUUCCCGAUGGCCCAGCGAGGGGGCAUCUUCUUGCUGGUAAAGAGUUUCGCUCCGGGAGGGGCCCACGUGCUAUUAGCUAGUUGGCGGGGUAACGGCCCACCAAGGCUAAGAUGGCUAGCGGGUGUGAGAGCACGACCCGCGCCACUGGCACUGAGACACUGGCCAGACACCUACGGGUGGCUGCAGUCGAGGAUCUUCGUCAAUGGGCGAAAGCCUGAACGAGCGACGCCGCGUGCGCGAUGAAGGCCUUCGGGUUGUAAAGCGCGAAAGGGAGAUUGAAAAGCCCGCAAGGGUUUGAUCGAUCCCCAGUAAGCUCGGGCUAAGUUCGUGCCAGCAGCCGCGGUAAGACGAACCGAGCGAACGUUGUUCGGAAUCACUGGGCUUAAAGGGCGCGUAAGCGGGCAUUCAGUCCGUGGUGAAAUCCGGCA